UGCACACAUGUCUGUAAGUCACUUUGGAUAAAAACAUCUGCUAAAUGGCAUUAU
rfam:Salmo salar isolate Sally breed double haploid chromosome ssa14, whole genome shotgun sequence.